rnacentral:rRNA from 1 species
CACGUAGUUAGCCGGUGCUUAUUCUUCAGGUACCGUCAUUAGCGCAGAGUAUUAAUCCGCACCGUUUCUUCCCUGACAAAAGAGCUUUACAACCCGAAGGCCUUCUUCACUCACGCGGCAUUGCUGGAUCAGGCUUGCGCCCAUUGUCCAAAAUUCCCCACUGCUGCCUCCCGUAGGAGUCUGGACCGUGUCUCAGUUCCAGUGUGGCUGGUCGUCCUCUCAGACCAGCUACUGAUCGUCGCCUUGGUGAGCCUUUACCUCACCAACUAGCUAAUCAGAUAUCGGCCGCUCCAGGAGCAUGAGGUCUUGCGAUCCCCCACUUUCAUCCAUAGAUCGUAUGCGGUAUUAGCGUAACUUUCGCUACGUUAUCCCCCACUCUUGGGUACGUUCCGAUAUAUUACUCACCCGUUCGCCACUCGCCGCCAGGUUGCCCCGCGCUGCCGUUCGACUUGCAUGUGUAAAGCAUGCCGCCAGCGUUCAAU